rnacentral:lncRNA from 1 species
ACUCCGAAUCGCCAUGGCUCUCGCCGUCCGCACGCCCCGCUUCCAGCCGCGGCCGACCUCCAUUUCCGCACCCGCCUCCGCCUCCACCUCCACCUCCCUCGCCGCCGCGAACGCGAGGCCCCGCCCCGGCGCCGCCGUCCGCGCCUCCGCCGCCUCGCCCUUCACCGAGGCCACCUCCUCCUCGCGCUACCGCCGCGAUGCCUGGUCCUACGCCGCCGACGGCUCCUCCAGCCCCGCGUCGUCGUCGUCGUCGCCCUCCGAUGCCGCCGCUGCCGCCGCCGCCGCCGCCGCCGCGGCGGGCCGCCGGGACGACGAGAUCGCGCUGCAGCUGCCGGAGCUGCGGAGGCUCCUGGACGCGCUGAGGGCUUCCAGGGGGAGGAGCGCCGAGGGGGAGGGCGGCGGCGGCGGGCCUGGGAGGGUGGC